GAUGAAGAACGCAGCGAAAUGCGAUACUUGGUGUGAAUUGCAGAAUCCCGUGAACCAUCGAGUCUUUGAACGCAAGUUGCGCCCGAAGCCAUUAGGCCGAGGGCACGCCUGCCUGGGUGUCACACACCGUUACCCUCGCGCCAACGUCCAUCGUUGGCCGCGGCGCGGGGCGUGCGCUGACCUCCCGCGAGCGGGGUCUCGUGGUUGGUUGAAAAUCGAGUUCGCGGUCGAGGGUGCCGUGAUGAAAUGGUGGAUGGGCGACGCCCGAGGCCAAUCACGCGCGACUCUGUCGGGCUCGGACUCCUGGACCCCUUCGGCGUCUCCGGACGCUCUUUGGCGAGACCUCAGGUCAGGCGGGGCUACCCGCUGAGUUUAAGCAUAUCAAUAAGCGGAGGA
rnacentral:misc_RNA from 1 species